UGACCAUUAUUAUGCUCAAAUGUAAUUAUUGUCUCAUUUUUAUCCUUUUUGUAGUGUAAACUUAAGUAUAAAAAUAAAGAUUUAUGAAUAUGUCAGACAAAUUAUAUAAAAUGGGUGAUCACUUGGUAAGUAAUUUUUAUACCUUUGUUGUGGUCUGUGUAGAUGGAGGCUAUUUUGGCAAUAGCCAUGCACUUAGACAUAGCAUGACCAGUCCAUAUGUGGACUGCCUAUGUCUAUUAAUUAAACAUGACUGAAUACCCAAAUUAGAUUCAAGAUUAUGAUAUGUCCCAGGCAUGGAUCCAAAAAUGACCAUGUACUGAAGUUAUAUGGCAUGAGCCAUGUAAAAUAUGGUGGGAAACAUACAAUUGGGGCUGCAUGCCUGCAUCCCACCAUAAUGCACUAGUCAAUUGAAACCCCGACCCCCGGGAUAGGGAGGGGAAAUUAACAUUUUGACAAUGUUAAAUUUUGGACAUUUCCCUGCUACCGGGAGAAUAUUGGCUGUUAAAAUUACUGUCCCUAUGGUCCCAGCACUUUGCAAAUUUUCAUGACUUGGGAAAUUUUCAUGACUUGGGAAUUAAUUGUCCUGGCUAAUAAAUUGAUUUGUUAUUUAUUACCCUGUACCCUGGGGGAAAUCUGCAUUAAGACUGUGUUAAUCCACGGCCAUUCCCCCAUUAAUUCCCCACCCUGUCCCUGGGGUUGAGGGUUUCAAUUGACUAGUGCAUGCAUAAACAUUGCAAAGGUCCAUUUUGUAAAUUAAUGGCACUAUGUAUUUAAUCAUAAUUUAUAGGGCCUGUGAGUUCAUGUCUGGAAUAAAAUAAUGGCAAAUCUACAGAAAUAUCACUGCUAAGGAGUGUCAAACAAAUUCAGGAGGACUGAAUUAACUGGAUGUUCUCAGGAUGAAAAAGAAAUUGUUGACUUUAAUUGAAUAAUCAUUAUCAUUAAUGUUAAAGGUUAAAAAUAUUGAACAUUCAAAAGGAUGCAGACAGAAAAUUGAAAGUAGGGCCUGAAUUUCAGGUUAAGUGAUCCAGGAAUGGGGUUGGCCCUCUGCAGGCUAAAUCAAUUGAGGGAGAUCCCUUUAUUUCAAGUUAAAUGAUUAUUUGAAUAAGAUGCCAUUCAGGCAAUAAGGGCCUGGUUAGGUCCAUAUUUUAAUUCAAAUUAUUAAGUACUCGAUUUAUCCAUCAACAAAACCCAACAUUAAAAUUUCCAUCGAGUGAGAUGCGCAACAAAACCAUCUAUAGUUUAUUAAUUAUGUUAACCUAAUCCAUCAAUUGGCAAUGAGCCUACUUU